rnacentral:lncRNA from 1 species
UUAAUAAUCAGCUUCUCUGGAAGUCCCUCUUCAUCAUAGACUUCACACUCACAGGCUGAUGAAAUGUGGUUAGUCAGAAGGAGCCUUCAUUGCUUCUGUCCAGAGCUUUUAGAGCAAAUGGCUUCUCUGAGGAUACAACAGUGCGUUUCCCGGAGGGCCUUCCUCUGUCAUUUACAAUGACUACAGCUCUCUCCUCCUAGACAAACACAGAAAACCCUUUUUUUCCAGAAGUUGGCUCAACAUGUGCUGAGCAAGGUUACAGACUGUUAGGGAUAUGCUAUGACAGACAAAGCGCACUCUCAGCUGCUUUCCAAGAAGUGGCAUACUGUCUGCUUCCACUUUGGCAAUUUCCUGCUAGAGUUCAUGCUUCCAAGCAAAUAAAACCAAAGCCUUUACCCUUAUGAAUGAAAACUUCACCUGCUUUUGCCUAUUUCUCAAAGUUUCCUCAUUUCCUCCUCAGUGGUGUCAGGGGGAAGAUUGCCGACAAAGAGACAGCUACAUUGCGUAAAGGUCUUCUCUCUUGGUUUCUAAAAUUCUUUAGUCAAUAGUCAAACUUUCAUUCUGCCUGCUGGCCUACUGUCCAUUUGUAGGUAUUGAUGCCUUCUCCUCCUCCUCAUGCUGCUGCUGCUCCUGCUGCUGCUGCUGCUGAUGAUGAUGAUGAUGACGACUACAACGAUUGAUGAUGAUGACAACGAUGAUGAUGUUGCUGCUGGUGGUGAUGUUGCUGAUGCCUACUUGGAGUAUGAGUCUGCUUCUCCAAGUUAAAGGGCACAUAGCCGAACAGGGAUCUGUUCUGCCAACAAUCCUGAAAAAUCAUCUGCCGAGUGUCACCUGAAUAACAGUGCAAUCUGUGUGAACCAUGGUGCUCUUGCCAAUUACCACCAUGCAGCCUGUGAGUCAUCUAAGGAGAAAGCAGUCAUGGA